AGCUACAGAUCUGAUGCUCCUGCAGAGUAUGAAAGUGUGGGCUGAGAGAGAGAGAGAGAGAGAGAGAGAGAGAGAGAGAGAGAGAGAGAGAGAGAGAGAGAGAGAGAGAGAUGCAAAAAGAAAGAAAAGGCUAGUGGAAGGCAGUAGGACACAAUCGACGCAACUGUCUGCUGAGAACACAAGUGCCUCUCCCUGUGGUGUUUCUUUAAUGCAGUUGUAAGCUACCGACAGUUGUAUGUUCUCUACUAGAGAGAUCUAUACAGAGAUCACAGGAGCAUGUAAAGGUAAG